AAUCCAGUAUGAUGUUGUUUGUAGAAUAAAAGUGUCAAUCCAAAUGCUGUGAAUACUAAUGUCUAUCAAUGUCUAUGUCCAAGUUUUAAUUAUGAGAGUUUAACUUUAGUGUCUGUAUAUAUAGUGUUGUCAAUGGAAAAUUCUAGAACACUCUAUAAUGGAACAUUGUGGAAAAUCCUGGAAAGUUACAACGGAAGUUUCUGGAAUAACGUAGAAGUUUAAAUUACGCAUCUUUUAUAAGGAUCAUUCUAGAAAGUUCCAAUCAUUCUGUGAUUGUUCCAGUGAUUCCUAAACUGCACAAUUAUAAGAUUAUUUGGUAAACAACUAUCAGGCCAUACAACACAAAUUAGGCCAACAUAAAUAAACAUAAUAAUUACAAUAUCAUAACAGUGUCAUAGAGUGUAAAAUGCUCAUUAACAGUUUGCUUAACAUUCCAUGGAGCAGAUUUAAAGUUCCUGAUUAAAAUGGGACAUAAAAUUCAUUGGAGGAGGAAUACAUGUAGAGAAUGCAGUAAAUAUGUAUACCCCCUACUUUGGAGCUGAAAUAUAAUAACCCUUUCAUAAGAGAAAUCUCUCAAAUAAGAUUAACCACCAAGGAAUUGUGCAAGAAAAACUUAAAUUGACUUCCUUGACAAUAAUCUUCAGACCAUUUUCUAGUUUAAAAAAUAAUUUAUAUCCUAGCAUAAUUAGGCACAUUUGGAAUUAAAAAACGCUGUGAAACAAUAAUAUAUCAGUUAUUGUACUUAUAUAUGACUAUGUAAAAACCUCAAAUAGGCUGCCAAAUUUAAUGUACAAUUUCAAAUUUAUCAAAAAUAUAUACAUGUAUAGUAAUUGAAUAAAUAUAUAUGUUUCCUAAUAUUUUGCUGAAUCCAAAUUUAGAAAAGAUUAUUAUUAAAAAUUAAAAAAAAGAGGUAGAUGUAUAUUACUUAAGAAAUAGAUCAAUAGUAAUAAUUCAAUAACACAGCAAUAAAAAAACAUCAGAGAAAAAUAUAACGCAAUAAAUAAAAACAUGAUAAAAUUACAAUGAUGAUUUUAAAGUCUGCCUUAAAAAUCACUCAAUUAAUAGAUUUCAUGAGAUUUUCUCGAUUUACCUUCACCAGGUACACGCAAAGCAGAAUAUUAAAAAUCAAGGAUGCAUAAGAACUGUAACAGUUGAAGAGCUGUAUAACAAAAAAGGAACUAAAAAUUACAAGAAGUUCUUAUUUGUAAGUAAAUAAUAGGUUUUGAAUUAAAUUGGCUAUGAGAAGAAGAUUGAUACAUUAAGAUUUCAGACAAUAUGCAUUUGUGUACUUCACAAUCAUUGCUUGAACAAAGAAAUCUCUUUUUGAAAGGACACUAUUAGAUAAAAACGGAAUAAUGCAGAUUUUUAAAAAUGUACUUCAAUCUGUUUUCCUUGAUUGCAAAUUUAAAAAAAAUCAAUUACCAGUUAUAGAAAUGUGAUGUUCAAAGAUAUGAUUGUCAUUUCAGCAUAACAUUUACUGAGAUUUAGCAUAAGAAACAUUUGUUAUUUUGAAGCUAUAAUGUGCUUCUUAUAUAAUUGUUGGAAAGACAAAUUAUGAUUGGUUGGUUGUUCAAUAAAAACAUUUUAAACAGAAAUUUAAAAAAAAAAUCAUGGUUUCAUUACAAAUUCGUUUAGAACUGAAUUUCUAAUUUGAGGAUAAAAAAUUUAAAGCCAAAGUUUAAUAUUAAAUAAGGACUGUUUUCCAAUUAAUCCUAUGUUUUUUUCUCACUCACUAAAAUGUAGAAGGAUUUACAUUAUUAAAUAACCUUUACAGUUUUGCAACUGCAACACAUUCAAUGUUUAGAUAUGAUGAAUGCAUUUUUUUCAAAGCAUAGAAAUUAUUAGGUAUACAAAAACUUAUAAAUGCAAAAUAACAAUUACAUUAUUUCUAAUAGUUUUCCUCAAUAUUGAAAAUUCUAAUUUGAGGCUCCACUACUGCAUAUGUAUUAUCUUCCAAGUUGCAUCAAGAUUUAAAAUAAGAAUCAAAGUAGUUAUAUAAUAAAUACAAUGCACUGUAUACUUUUGUUAAUUGUAUGUAUUUUUGUACCCUUUCAGAACCGGUAAACUAGUUUUGGAAUGAUAUAGAAUCAUGACUUCAUAUUUCAUUACUGUUAUCUAAAUCUUUGAUUUUUUAAGUAUUGCACAUCUUCAACACAAAUUUUCAAUAAAAUAAAAUCAAAAUUUAGUUAUUUAUCACAGAAGUAUAAUUAUGAUAAAUAAAAAAUAUAUAUCACAGUAUAAUGUAGAAAAAAUAUGACAAGUCUAUUUUAGGCAUAAAAAACCUACGGUGUUAAGAUUAAACAUUACCAAGAAAUUUAAAAAACUUCAAAACAUUUUUGUUUCAUAGACUGCAUUGAUACUAAUAUUAGAAGCUGCCAUUAUGUAACUUUGAAACAUGCAUAGAAAAUAGUCAAUGGACAAUAAAAUGAUGUAGGAUACUUAAUACAAGUCUACAAUAGGCCCAGCAAACCUAGUGUUUUUCAAUUAAAAAAAAAAUAACAAAAUUUCAAUUCGCCCUUUUCAGAACUUCAUGCUUUCGAGUAAUAUUUUCAAAAAACGUACACCAAAGUUUUUUGAUUGGUUAAGAAGGUACAAAGAAAUGGAAAUUCAAUAAAUGAUCAUGAUGUUAUGUUACUUGAAUUUUGGAUUACUCAUAGUACUAAAAGAGUUCUAAAAGAGGUGAAUUAUCUUGAAGUAAAAAAAAGUUGAUGGUAUUCGGUAACUAAAGAAGAAGAAGAAAUCAAUUGACAUGUUUCUACUUUGUUCUGUACAUAAAAACUGUCAAUAGACAAUAAAAUAAUUAUGGUAUCACAUUUACAUAUUAAGUAUAUUUAUCACAUACAUGGUAAUUCACAGCUGCAUACAUUUAACUAUUAACUAUAAAAAGGGGUCAUGUUUUUUUAUAAUAAAUUUUGUUCAUGAAAAUACUGAGUACUCAAAAAUUGACAAAGAAUGAUACAAUUAUGUAAAUAUAUGAAGGGUAAAUGAAAUAAAUUAAGGAUGUACUUUGGUGAGGUUAGGUGAAAAUUAAUAAAUCAAGAAUUUAAAAUUGAUAUCAUAAGCUGGUAGAGCAUCAAUUAAGGAUAAAGAUAAGCUAAAAAUAUUGAUAGGUCAUGGACCUUCUUUUCGAGAUAUUUGAGAUUUAAAAUUUGGCGGGAAAAGGCUGACUCGGACUUUUACCUUAUAUUUGCAUUGGUAUUAUUUGUGUCUCAAAACAGAAGAAAGAAAAUCAAGAAUCUUCUAAAAUUUUGGUAAAUGACCUUUCAUGAGCUAUUAAGUCUUAUAUGAAAAAAUAAAUGGUUGUUAUGGGGCAAAAUAUUUUACAUUGUAUUGUAUGGAAAAAUACCAAGGAGUCCGAACAUUUUACACAAAUUCCAAAACCUCACCUAAGUACAUCCUUAAGAACAUGAUGUACAACAUAAACAGUUAUAUAAUUUAUAGAAAAAAUAAAUGAUAUAUAAAAAAAAAAAAGUUCAAUAUCACGUUUAAACUUUUCAUUGCUAUUAUAGAAAUUCCAUUA
rnacentral:lncRNA from 1 species